GUCAGUGAGUGUGUGUCUGCAUGUCAAAUCAGUGAGUGUGUGUCACUGUGUAUGUCUCUGUUUAGGUUACCGGCCCCCCUCCGAUCACAUGGAAAAGGUGUUUUUACUCACCCUUUUCCCCAAGCCAUGACAGUCUUGCUGUGGCUGGAGCGUCUUUAUGGCUGAGAUAAUCAAUCUUGAUGAUCUCAGUCAAUCCAAUGCUUUAAAUAGCAAUGCAUUGGAAGGUGAUUGGGCAUCAUCCUGCUGCGCCAAUCAGCAUCCCCUUAUAGAGAUGCAUUAAAUUAAUUAAUUUCUAUAGAGAACAUUCAGUGACCAUGCAGUGCAGCACAACUAGACUAAGAAGCACCUCUAGUGGCCAUCUGAGUGACUGUCACUAGCGGUGUUACUAGGCAGCAAUAUAAACACUGUAUUUUCUCUAAGAUGGCAGUGUUACACUGAAAAGCCUGCACAGACAGGCUAUAGACACCAGAUCCACUACAUUAAGCUGCAGUGGUUCUG